UACGUAGGUGGCAAGCGUUGUCCGGAAUCACUGGGCGUAAAGCGCACGUAGGCGGACUCUUAAGUCGGUGGUGAAAUCCUGGAGCUCAACUCCAGAACUGCCUUCGAUACUGAGAGUCUCGAGUCCGGGAGAGGUGAGUGGAACUGCGAGUGUAGAGGUGAAAUUCGUAGAUAUUCGCAAGAACACCAGUGGCGAAGGCGGCUCACUGGCCCGGUACUGACGCUGAGGUGCGAAAGCGUGGGGAGCAAACAGG
rnacentral:rRNA from 1 species